UCUUUGUUUUCCUUUCCUUUAAAAUUGUCAGUUAACUGUCUUUCUUCCUUACAUAUUCUUCACCUAUAUAUUUUUAAUUUAAAUAAAAGGCAAAUUGCAGACCAAGGUGCAACACACAAUGCAAUUUGUGUGAAGGAAGAAGAGUCUAUGAACUAUAAACACACAUGAAUACAGCUAUUUAUACACAGGGAAGUGUUGAGACGGGCCUAUGCAUUAGUAGUGGUCAGCUCUAGCAGUAAAGUAUGCCUGACUGGAAAGGCAUCCAAGACGGGGAUUUCUUAAUAUCUGUAAACUUGUAAAGUGAUGGAAAGAGGAAGGUUAAAAUCACUUGAUUUGGGAUGCCUGAGACAGAACCUAGACUCACUCCUGAAGUGGACAUUUAGGCACACCAAUGAAGGAUUAUCUAGAUUGAAGUUAGCCUUUAAGAAUGCUCUUGAGGGAUUAUCUUGAUUUAAAAAAAAAACUGAUCUGGGAAGACUCAUCUUAAUUGUGGUGGGGGCCAUUCCCUGGACUGGGGAUCCUAGACUGUAUGAAGAGUCGAGAAUGUCAAGAAGUAACCCUAGCGCGUGUGCAUUCACUGCCUGUUUCCUAAACUUGAUGUGACCAGUUGCUUCAAGCUCCUGCUGCCUUGACUUCCCAUGACUUGUCUGCUAGAUAAAAAUGAAUGCUUUAUCUCUUCUGUUGUUUUUGUCAAAUUUUAUUUAUUUAGCAAUGGGAAAAGAGAGACAGUGGUCCUCUGCGGAGAAGCCUGAUCGCCAGCUCUGCUCUUUGUUACUGAUCGUAUAGUCUUAGUCUUGUAGCUCUGACUACAGAAGCCAAGGCACAAUUCUUUAGGGCAUCUCAACGAGAAAUCUGUGAGAUGAUGGGUGAGUUGUUUUCCAUCAGCUCAAAGUUAAAAAGCUGGGAUUAUUUCAUCUGAGUGUUGACUAUGAAGAUGAUAUGAAAUAAGGAUCUCAGGGAGGAUUGAAAUUAUGUUUUCGAGAAACAUUUUAAAGGUGUUCUUAUGCCCCGAGACUUCCAAGAUUUACUAAAAAGCAGGGCAGGGCAACAGAAGCUAAAAGAAGACAGAACUGGGGAAGCAAGAGAGAGCACCAUAGGGGCUUUCUAAAACGCACAGGCCAGGCUCUGACACAGGCAUAGGACACCCUUGCAGAAUGUCCAACCCAUUCUCUGUAGGACACAGCUCAGCACAGCUGUGAGUGCGGCACAACCCCACACUACAAACUUCAAACUGAAAUCAUGAGGUUUAUUUGUAACUUGAUUGUGUGGUUUUUCAAGUAUAAAUUUUGUAGAUGCUGAACAAACCAACCAACCAACAAACAAAACCCUGGACACUCCUAUGAAUGCUCGCAUGUGACUCUGAUGACUCUCAGUCGCUUGCUGCUCUGGGGAUCUUGGUGAACUAUUUGGCAGGCACAAGCAGAACACAGGAAAGGAGAGAGCACUUACUUUGUGCAAACGCCUCUUGCACAUCUCCGCCUACCCCAGUGAGGGAGUCCUGCGGGGUGUGCGUUGGUGUGGGACAGGCAGAUGCUGAACGGAUGGGCAUGGGGAUCGGCCUGCUGAUGGUGUGGCUGGGGGAAGAGCGUGGGGAGCUUGCCCCCUGGGUCUGCAGAAACAAGACACAUCGUUAAUUUGCUUCCACAAGAAAAGCCCAUAGGCCUCCUCUAAAGUCUUAGGUCCCAUGUUAAAAACUCUUAUAAGAACAUGCCAAAACAGGAACAAAUCUUAGGAAUCCGAGGUGACUACUCUAAACCUAGCUGCUGGUGUCCAUUAAUUUAGGGAGUUAUCCAUGUAGUUGCAGGUGUAGAUUAAUUUUGGAAGCUAUUAUACAUAAUCUGAAGUCCGUGUUUAUACGGAAGUCUAAGAAUACUAGUGUAGCAUUGUGUUAUAAUAUGAGAUCUUCGUUCUUGCCAAAGAUGUUGUGAAACAGUCUCAAGGUAUGUAUAUUUCUCCUUGAAGCAAGUCCUACAUAGAAUAAAACACAAAGGAGAAAGUUCUUAAUACAGACUUUGAGAUUAUUCAGUACAGGUAUGAGACAUUUCUCCCCUAACUUUCAACCUACUUUGGCCUCAUUGUUAGACACAAUUUAGGUCAUGUCUUACAGUAUUUCAUAUUGUCUCAAAUAAUUGCAUUGAGAUGUUCAUUGCUAAUCUCUGUUCUAUGAUAAAGUUACAUCGUGAAAUUAGUCUGCAAAUCAGUGAUCUGUAUGGGGAGGAAGAAAAAAGAAAUCUUGAUGUCUUUCACUCUUCUCUUCAUUAAUAAUUUAAACUGAUACAUGAAGACUGUACUUACUAAUGAGAUCCCAUGUAACAAUUUUACAUAUGUACAUAUCACACAAUGUUCAAUUCCAGGUGAACGUA
rnacentral:lncRNA from 1 species